rnacentral:rRNA from 1 species
AUGCUGCACUUGGACAUCACGUUCAACUUCCUUACAAGUUUCAGGUUGAUUAUCUCCUCUCUGACGUUAUACAGCGGAGAAGAUGUGGCUAUACAAUACACUAUACUAUACAAGAUGCUACUGCUAAGCUGCAUAUAUUGUUAUUCUGCAAUUGGUCAUCAGGUUGAACCUUGCAAGUUUGCUGCUAGUUACCUCCUGAUGUUUUUACGGUCCAAAUGGAAGAGGAGUGACACAUAUCUUGUGGGUAUCGGUGGAACAGAGGCGAGCAAGAUCUCUGAUCGAAAGUACAAGUGGCAACAACUGACCCAAAUAAUUGUAAAUUGUUUGGAAAAGAUCAUGGAACGGAUGAUCAAUCUGAUGAGAAGACCUGCAAUCGUGAAUACAGAGUACUUGCUUUCUUUACUAGCUAGAGUAUUUAAGUACCCGCAACCUGUAUUGGUGGUACACCAUCGUGCAAACCUAAAGCUAUAUUGUAUUGCUAAUUGGGGUGUAAAUUAUUUGCUGUACAUCAUCGUUAGUGUGUUGUGA